UGGGGAAUAUUGCGCAAUGGACGAAAGUCUGACGCAGCGACGCCGCGUGUGGGAUGAAGCUCUUCGGGGUGUAAACCACUGUUGCCCGGGAAGAACCUCCUGAUUCGUCAGGACUGACGGUACCGGGUGAGGAAGCACCGGCUAACUCUGUGCCAGCAGCCGCGGUAAUACAGAGGGUGCGAGCGUUGUCCGGAAUCACUGGGCGUAAAGGGCGCGUAGGUGGCGGGAUAAGCGUGCGGUGAAAGUCCGGGGCUCAACUCCGGAUCGGCCGUGCGUACUGUCUUGCUCGAGCGUAGUAGAGGCGGGUGGAAUUCCGGGUGUAGCGGUGGAAUGCGUAGAGAUCCGGAAGAACACCGGUGGCGAAGGCGGCCCGCUGGGCUACUGCUGACACUGAUGCGCGACAGCGUGGGGAGCAAACAGGAUUAGAUACCCCGGUAGUCC
rnacentral:rRNA from 1 species